AAAUUAGAAGCUUAAAUGGAUACAUACUAACUUUCCUCUUAAAAAUAUCAACAAGGAAACUAUAACCAAUCCAAAGGAAUGCCAACCAUAUUAUAACGAACAAAGUUUGGCGUUUGGCUCCUUCGACUUUAGGAGCAACGAUUGCAAGGAAGAUGGAAGACAUGGUUAAAGCGGUAUCUAAAAAUGUUAGAGAAUCACUUUAAAAUUUUAACGACAAACUUACACAAUAGGGAAACAACUUGAACUUCAGCACCAAAUUGAAAUUGUUGAGAACCAGCAAGCCAAAGGUUUUCACCGUGUUCACCACGUUGACUAUAAGGACUGAAACGAAUGCGAGUAAACAUGUAACCACUACUUAAAGUAAUAACGGUGAUAAUGGUUAAGGCGGCCCAAACUUUGCGACUUGUAAAGAUUUUGACAAUAAUUUUACGGGUAAAGAAUAAAGCAGCUCCAACGAUAAUAUAGGAAAGAAAAGCACCAACCCGUUUGGCUUGAUCUUGCUUAUAUACAAUAUCGGCGAUUUUCCCAGUAUGCUUUUCUACAAUAGCAGCAAGAUGAGAAGCAGUGACACUAAGUAAGUUAGUUUUUUUAUUUCUUCAAAAAAACUAAAAAUAGUACGGCGAAUUACUAAAAAAAAGUAUUCGCAAACAAACAAUUUCGGAGGAAAGAUGAGUGUUUGGACUUACCCAUGGCUUAAGUCUACGUGGAUAGCUUGAAUAGAUUUUGGUUUAAAAAUCCAAAAAUUAGGGACGCUUUCAAUGGAAAACUAUGAGUACAAUUAGUAUUGAUAAAGUUGGGAAAAUUUACAAGACUGCAUCACAUACGUCCUGAAAAAGAUUCUUAUUCUUUCCAAAAUCAGCGUAGGUAAAACGUAUUCCACUGUCAAGACCAUAUUUUAACUUGUACGAAUUAGCAAGCGCUUUAAAUUCCGGUUCAAUGAGACUAACAACGUUAGAAAAUAAAUCAACUUAAUAUAAUAUUUUCUGAGCUUACCGACAAACAUCACAGUUCAUGGUAGAGGAAUCGGCUGAGAAAAGAGCUACUGUGGUGAAAUCUUGUUUUCCAUUUACGAUUCGAUGAAACAAUCUGCCGGUAAUUUGAAUAACUCCAUCAGCAUCCGUUUUUGAAUUUAAAUCUAAUUUUGCAAAGCAUGUAAUUACAAAGAGGGAGAAAAACGAGAGGAUUUUGAAGAAAUUCAUCUUGCCUUCAAUAGUUUGUCCUUGGCAGCCUCAUUUCUGCUUAAUGGCUGCCCCCGCUAAGCAAACCGUCGAUGCGCAGAGAUUCGUUAUAUUUGUUACCUAUGAAGUUGCA